rnacentral:rRNA from 1 species
AGUCGAGCGGUAGAGAGAAGCUUGCUUCUCUUGAGAGCGGCGGACGGGUGAGUAAUGCCUAGGAAUCUGCCUGGUAGUGGGGGAUAACGUUCGGAAACGAACGCUAAUACCGCAUACGUCCUACGGGAGAAAGCAGGGGACCUUCGGGCCUUGCGCUAUCAGAUGAGCCUAGGUCGGAUUAGCUAGUUGGUGAGGUAAUGGCUCACCAAGGCGACGAUCCGUAACUGGUCUGAGAGGAUGAUCAGUCACACUGGAACUGAGACACGGUCCAGACUCCUACGGGAGGCAGCAGUGGGGAAUAUUGGACAAUGGGCGAAAGCCUGAUCCAGCCAUGCCGCGUGUGUGAAGAAGGUCUUCGGAUUGUAAAGCACUUUAAGUUGGGAGGAAGGGCAGUUACCUAAUACGUGAUUGUUUUGACGUUACCGACAGAAUAAGCACCGGCUAACUCUGUGCCAGCAGCCGCGGUAAUACAGAGGGUGCAAGCGUUAAUCGGAAUUACUGGGCGUAAAGCGCGCGUAGGUGGUUUGUUAAGUUGGAUGUGAAAUCCCCGGGCUCAACCUGGGAACUGCAUUCAAAACUGACUGACUAGAGUAUGGUAGAGGGUGGUGGAAUUUCCUGUGUAGCGGUGAAAUGCGUAGAUAUAGGAAAGGAACACCAGUGGCGAAGGCGACCACCUGGACUA